rnacentral:rRNA from 1 species
GAUGAACGCUGGCGGCGUGCCUAAUACAUGCAAGUCGAGCGAACAGACGAGAGUGCUUGCACUCUCUGAUGUUAGCGGCGGACGGGUGAGUAACACGUGGGUAACCUACCUAUAAGACUGGGAUAACUUCGGGAAACCGGAGCUAAUACCGGAUAAUAUUUAUCUUCGCAUGAAGCAAUAGUGAAAGACGGUUCUGCUGUCACUUAUAGAUGGACCCGCGGUGUAUUAGCUAGUUGGUGAGGUAACGGCUCACCAAGGCAACGAUACAUAGCCGACCUGAGAGGGUGAUCGGCCACACGGGGACUGAGACACGGCCCAGACUCCUACGGGAGGCAGCAGUAGGGAAUCUUCCGCAAUGGACGAAAGUCUGACGGAGCAAUGCCGCGUGAGUGAAGAAGGUUUUCGGAUCGUAAAACUCUGUUGUAAGGGAAGAACAAGUACGUUAGUAACUGAACGUACCUUGACGGUACCUUACCAGAAAGCCACGGCUAACUACGUG